UACGGGGGGGGCAAGCGUUGUUCGGAAUUACUGGGCGUAAAGGGCUUGUAGGUGGCCAACUAAGUCAGACGUGAAAUCCCUCGGCUUAACCGGGGAACUGCGUCUGAUACUGGAUGGCUUGAGUUUGGGAGAGGGAUGCGGAAUUCCAGGUGUAGCGGUGAAAUGCGUAGAUAUCAGGAGGAACACCGGUGGCGAAGGCGGAUCUCUGGGCCUGUCCUGACGCUGAGGCGCGAAAGCUAGGGGAGCGAACAGG
rnacentral:rRNA from 1 species